GUCUCUCUUGAGUGGAUCCUGAGUACGACGGAGCACGUGAAAUUCCGUCGGAAUCUGGGAGGACCAUCUCCUAAGGCUAAAUACUCUCUAGUGACCGAUAGUGAACCAGUACCGUGAGGGAAAGGUGAAAAGCACCCCGGAAGGGGAGUGAAAUAGAACCUGAAACCGUGUGCUUACAAGUAGUCAGAGCCCGUUAAUGGGUGAUGGCGUGCCUUUUGUAGAAUGAACCGGCGAGUUACGAUUUGAUGCAAGGUUAAGCAGUAAAUGUGGAGCCGUAGCGAAAGCGAGUCUGAAUAGGGCGUUUAGUAUUUGGUCGUAGACCCGAAACCAGGUGAUCUACCCUUGGUCAGGUUGAAGUUCAGGUAACACUGAAUGGAGGACCGAACCGACUUACGUUGAAAAGUGAGCGGAUGAACUGAGGGUAGCGGAGAAAUUCCAAUCGAACCUGGAGAUAGCUGGUUCUCUCCGAAAUAGCUUUAGGGCUAGCCUCAAGUGAUGAUUAUUGGAGGUAGAGCACUGUUUGGACGAGGGGCCCCUCUCGGGUUACCGAAUUCAGACAAACUCCGAAUGCCAAUUAAUUUAACUUGGGAGUCAGAACAUGGGUGAUAAGGUCCGUGUUCGAAAGGGAAACAGCCCAGACCACCAGCUAAGGUCCCAAAAUAUAUGUUAAGUGGAAAAGGAUGUGGCGUUGCCCAGACAACUAGGAUGUUGGCUUAGAAGCAGCCAUCAUUUAAAGAGUGCGUAAUAGCUCACUAGUCGAGUGACACUGCGCCGAAAAUGUACCGGGGCUAAACAUAUUACCGAAGCUGUGGAUUGUCCUUUGGACAAUGGUAGGAGAGCGUUCUAAGGGCGUUGAAGCAUGAUCGUAAGGACAUGUGGAGCGCUUAGAAGUGAGAAUGCCGGUGUGAGUAGCGAAA
rnacentral:rRNA from 1 species